rnacentral:rRNA from 1 species
UGGUGGAGUGAUUUGUCUGGUUAAUUCCGUUAACGAACGAGACCUCGACCUGCUAAAUAGUCGCGCUGACCAAACGGUCGGUAGUGGCUUCUUAGAGGGACUAUCGGUGUCUUAGCCGGUGGAAGUUCGAGGCAAUAACA